UACGGAGGGGGCAAGCGUUGUUCGGAAUUACUGGGCGUAAAGGGCGCGCAGGCGGCUGCUCAAGUCAGGCGUGAAAGCCCCGGGCUCAACUCGGGAACUGCGCUUGAUACUGUCGAGCUAGAGUGUGGAAGGGGCGAUUGGAAUUCCGUGUGUAGCGGUGAAAUGCGUAGAUAUACGGAGGAACACCAGAGGCGAAGGCGGAUCGCUGGGCCAACACUGACGCUGAGACGCGAAAGCUAGGGUAGCAAACGGG
rnacentral:rRNA from 1 species